rnacentral:tRNA from 1 species
CAGGACCAGCGGGCCUUGAUCCCACAAAAACUAGUUAACAGCUAGUCGCCCAAACCAGCGGGCAUUAGUCCA